rnacentral:tRNA from 1 species
GAGGCUGUAGCUCAGCUUGGUAGAGCACGGCUCUGAUAAGGCCGGGGUCCACAGUUCAAAUCUGUGCAGCCUCA